CAGCAGCAUCUGUUAUAUCUUCAACCUCUUCUCACAGUUCUUUCUCUAAUGGACAUGAGCCCUUUCACAUGGAGGCCUUUUUCAUACAACGCCUCUAAGACUACUGGGGCUGGAAGUUGAAUGAAAUCCAAAGUAUUUCCAGUGGUCUACAGGACCAGACAAUCCAUCAUGGAUCUCUCCUACUCUCCCAUCAUCCACCAUGCUCCAGUCACCUUGGACUCUUUGCUGGUUGGUGAAGACACUGUCGCGCUCCUGCUUGGGCCUUUCAUUUCCACGUGAGAUGAUCUUCAGAUAGCCACACUGCUUGUUCCCUCACCUCCUUCAGGUUUUGACCCUCAUGUCUCCUCAGUGAGAUCUUCUCUGAACACCCUAAUUGAUAUUUCAAACCCCUGAUUGCUUUCCAGAGCUUUUAACCAAGAGCCUGGUGACUUUACUGUGGCCCCUUCCCCUAGGAGGUCUUUAUUUCCUUCACAGACUGGAAACUCCUUUCUGCUUGUCACAGUGGUUUGGCUUAGUUUGUGAGCUUCCUACUUCAUAAAACUUUAGAAUACAGCACAUGCUUUGAAGGGAAAACCAGAAAUUCAUGAAAUCCCUCCAGUCUCUGAUUUUGUCACUCCAGCCCCACACAAUUGCUAAAAACUCUGCUACUUUCUUUCUUCCCAAGCAGUGGCCUUCUGCUUUGGCUGAGCCUGGAUUCUCAGCUUCUAGCCCGUGUUCAGUAGCUUCAAAUGCUCCCUGAGAAAAAUGCGGCUAGAGCUGGUGUUCUCCUCUUUAGAUUUUAAUCUAUUUCUUCUUUAUUCUGAAACUUUCUGAGAGCUCUGAACAGAUAGAUUUUGUAUUUUAUCCAGAGCUUCUUAUUGGCCUUGGUGAGAACAUUGGUCUAGCAUAAACCACUCCAUCCUACCAUCCUUCUCUCAUAUUUUGAGACUCUUUUUCUUCCUUGGUCUCUGUGUUAGAAUGCAAUUUUCACAAGGUCUUAUAUUCAUCUCCAUUUUUAGUUUUUACAGCUGUCUGUUACAGUGUGGGCUUUUGGUAAAUAUUUGUUGAAUAACUGUAUGUGUGUACAUAUAGUUUAUGCUCUCUAACUACUUGUAAUCCACAAAUUAUUAACAAAUUAUGAUGUUACUAUGAGAUAAUAAUAUGUAAAAUACUGGUUAUAAACCUGAAAUUUACACUGGAUCAUCUGAGAAGGGAUCCCAUAUAAAGGUUGUUAUCUUUCAGAAUAACUGGGAAAUUAAGCAUGAGAAUUGUUUAUCAUUUCCAGUUGCAGGAAGUAUAUGAAAAAAAUUAAUAAAACAGUGGUCAUAAAUGUGAGACUCAAACUAAAAAUAACAAAUCCCGUUAUUACUAAUUGCAGACAUUGAUAUGUCAAUUGAUCUGUAUUUUAUACAAAAGCUACAGUUCUAUGUAGCUUGUUCCUGAGAAAGUAAUAGCAGCGAUUAAUUUAUUUAACUAUGGUUAAUAUUUGACUAAUCAGUUUUGGGAAAGCCAGCUAAUAAAUAUGUGUACUAUGGAGAUGGAUGGAUAGAUAUGUAGAUACAUACAUACAUAAAGAGAUAGAUAGAUAGACAGAUAGAUGUACAGAUACAGAUAGAUAUCCUGAUGGUGAUUAAAAUAUGAUCUUUUAUUUUAUUUAGCCAGAAAGAUGCUGGGAAUUCACUUUACAAAAGGCAUGGAUUUGCACAGACAGAAAGAGACAGAUGUUCUAGAUCAGCAAGGGAUGAUCUUUCAUGGUAUCGUUGGGGGUGGAUUAUUUUUAGAAUGGCUGCUAAGAAACUUGAGGAAUUUGAGCACUGCAAGUUGCCACCCUGGGGUCAUGAGCUAAAGAUACUUAUACUCAAAUGGAGAAAGAGGAGAUUUAGGUGGAAAGAUCAAGAGCAUUGUGUUGGACAUGUUAAGUUUGAGGUGUCUAAUGACAUGAUGAGUAGGCAGUUGUGUAAGUGAAUAGAAGGGAAAUCUGAGCCUGAGACAUAAUUUUUUAGUUCACUACAGAUUUUGCCACCAAUGAAUUUCUGUGCAGGUCUGCUUUUCUUGCCAAAUAAGUUACAGAGUAGGGGAAAAAAAACCAACUUUGGUUUCUAGAGUUCUAUUGUUUUUAUAAAUGUGCACUCAGGGCCAGACGCAGUGGCUCACGCCUGUAAUCCCAGCAAUUUGGGAGGCCAAGGUGGGCAGAUCAUCUGAGGUCAGGAGUUAGAGACCAGCCUGACCAACAUGGUGAAACCCCAUCUCUACUAAAAAUACAAAAAUUAGCCAGGCAUGAUGGUGUACACAUGUAAUCCCAGCUACUUAGGAGGCAGAGACAGGAGAAUCACCUGAACCCAGGAGGCAGAGGUUGCAGUGAGCCAAGAUGGUGCCAUUGCACUCCAGCCUGGGCAACAGAGUGAGACUCCAUCUAAAAAAAAUGAAAGAAAA